GAUGAACGCUGGUGGCGUGCUUAACACAUGCAAGUCGAGCGAAGCAGUUAAGUUGAUUUCUUCGGAUUGAUUCUUAAUUGACUGAGCGGCGGACGGGUGAGUAACGCGUGGGUGACCUGCCCCAUACCGGGGGAUAACAGCUGGAAACGGCUGCUAAUACCGCAUAAGCGCACAGAGCUGCAUGGCUCAGUGUGAAAAACUCCGGUGGUAUGGGAUGGGCCCGCGUCUGAUUAGGCAGUUGGCGGGGUAACGGCCCACCAAACCGACGAUCAGUAGCCGGCCUGGGAGGGCGACCGGCCACAUUGGGACUGAGACACGGCCCAAACUCCUACGGGAGGCAGCAGUGGGGAAUAUUGCACAAUGGGGGAAACCCUGAUGCAGCGACGCCGCGUGAGCGAAGAAGUAUUUCGGUAUGUAAAGCUCUAUCAGCAGGGAAGAUAAUGACGGU
rnacentral:rRNA from 1 species